CUUGAGCCGCUUUGCUUUGGGUUUUGCUGCCAGCAGCUCAAGGUGUUGACAGAUAAGGGUCUUUGCAAAAGUAAUUAAGUGAAGAUCCCAAGAUGAGAUCAUCCUGGAUUAUCUGGAUGGGCCCUAAAGCCAAUGACAAAUGUUCUUAAAAGAGACACACAGAGCGGAAACAGAGAAGAGAAGGCAGCCAGGUGAAGACAAGCAGAGACUGGAGUGAUGCGGUCCCAGCCAAGGACACCUGGAGCCUCCAGAAGCUGAAAGAGCUCCUGUGGAUUGGGAAUCUGCGUGCUGUGACUCAGCUGGGUGCCUCUGACCUACCAUCUCUUAUAAGGCUACAAUCAAGGUACCAGCCAGGGCUGGAGUCAUCUCAAGGUA